GAGCUAGAAAGAAAAGGUUAAAAAUCAUGUGAUUAUGAAAAGAGAAAUGAAAGAUAAGACAUGAAACAAUUGUUGAACAAAAGUGUUUCAAUUGUUAACAUAUGAUGAUGCAUUUCUUUUGACAAGACAGAUGAUUUAUAGAUGUUUGCAGUAUUCUGGAUAUUGAACAUAAAAUUUUAUAUUUUAUUAUUUAUCUUUAUUUUUAAAUUAUUUUAUUAUAUUGGUGUGA
rnacentral:lncRNA from 1 species